GCUGGGCGUGAUGGCUCACACCUGUAAUCCCAGCACUUUGGGAGGCCGAGGUGGGAGGAUCACUUGAGACCAGGAGUUCAAGACCAGCCUGGUCAACAUAGUAAGACCCCAUCUCUA
rnacentral:SRP_RNA from 1 species